UUGUAGCAAAUUUAUAUAUAACAAUAUAUAAAUUCAAGUUAAUGAGACAACACGUUUGUCACCUUCAAACCUGGUUAUAAUCUCAUAGUAACAGGAUAAGCUUGUCAACAGCCACAAAAAGGCGAUAUCCAAUAGUCCAAAGUUCAAAUGUUUCUCUGGGCAUGUGUAAAACCGAAUGAAAGAUCAACUGACCAAUCAUAUGUCAACAACGAACACGCAGAACAAAGGUCAAUGUGAUAAGGGAGUUCACUUUGACAAAUAUCCCAACAAAGAGCAAUGUCUUGUUACCGAGAAGAAAAUUUGAAAAUUUGACUUGGUGCGGAGCUGUAAAGAAUUACGGACAUCGAAUGAACUGAGACAAUGUGACAGAAAAGAGUUUAUGAACGCUGGAAUUGACAUAUCAUGGUUAUAUCAAAGAAAAUUUGGUCAGUAACUCAGUAUGAUAAUUCAGUGAGACGCAGUUUAUUCAAAUAGAACUCUACCGGACAAGCGCUUACUCUUCUGGUGGACAAAGGAAUACGUUGGCCCAAGUCCCGACGAAGUUAUUACCAUUAAAUGAAACCGCCGCUGGGGGAAUAACAACAAGAUCGAUAGGCUAAAGCCGCUAAACACGAAAUCAACAAGCGUUCAAUUGAUAUCAUUCCAUGUCUCAAUGCACAUGCUUCCUAAAGUGAAGCGGUAUUCGGCGCGUAAGUAUGCGGUGCAUUGACACGUUUGUUUCGUAUUCCGCAUCUCAAACCAACCAAAAUGUAUUAAAAUUCGUCUAUUUUAUAACAACAUUCCGUGAUUCUGGUGUAUUUAUAUUUGUCGAUCAAAAAUUCCAAUGACAAUUUUAUUACUACCUUGAGGUUAGCCGCAGAUUAAAGGCUUCAGAUUACGCCUCAGAUUUGGCGUUGGAUUGGGUUUCAAUCAGGCCUUACAUUAAACUGUAUUCAAUCGCUCAAAAGUAGAAUUAUAAAACUUCUUUUUCAGCUAUUUCACAAAAUUAAUUUGACCUGCAUACAUUUUCAAUACUUUACUGUUCAAAACUUAAGAAAGCAAGCUCAUUUGUGAACGAAAUUUGAGACUUAAAACUCUGCACAUGAUACAUGUUUAUGCACAUUUGCGAUAAAUCGGCAAGAUGGAUAUCAGGAAAGAUUGGUACGAUACCAUGUAUGCCUACGCUUUUGAAAAUUGAAAAUCCUUUGAUGUACCAUUAUUUACUGCAUAUAAUCUAUUUUGACUACCACAUACAUAUUCUUACAAUUUCUUUCUGCUAAUAUCAUGCAUGCAUGAUCGGAUGUUCGAUCGCAAAAUUUUGGUCUUGCUAUUUUGAAUUAAAGUAAUGAAUAAGCUAUUUUUCUGAGAGUAAUGUCACAUAAUUCGAGAAAGUUCCACUGAUCAUAAUUGAAAUAAAAUAAGUGUGGUUAACAAAUAAAUGUCGUGCAAAACGUAUUUUGAACACAUUAACUUUAUAAAAAAAAUAAAUAAAUAAAUAAAAAUAAAUAAAAUGUGCCUCGAUAGUGAGCUUUGUUUGUCGUGUUACCAACCCUCCAAUUAAAAAAUUGUAAGAUAGAAGCUUUGUGGGGAAGCUGCUGGUUGUCUUGGCCCCAUCCAGGUUUCCUGUAUAUUCCAGGUUUUUUCUGGCCUCCCUGACUAUCCAGCUAUAGUAUGAGUGAUGGUAACGCCCAAAUAUAUGUCUAACUAUCAUCUGGCAGCAGCUGUCUUGUAUACAAAUACAGCUGUGGUGGGAGUUCGUCUAUGGGGAAUACACAUGCUGUGUAUUUGUGGGGUUGAAGUGUUCCCAAUGGUCAACUUCAGGCCCAUAGACUCAGGUUAUUUAUGUAAAUAUAAUCAGUCGAAUCGUAGGUACUGUCCAAGGGGAUUAUCACCCCUUGGUUCAGGUCUAUGUCAGAGGGGGUCGCUACCCUUCGGGCAGAGCUCCUAUGGAGCAUUCAGUCUCUCCUAGCAGGUCUUAUAUAUACGCCUGCGGGAUGAAAACAUAAGGCUUAAUGAGUCUUUGGGUUGACCAGAGUUUGAGAGUAUAAUGUAUAUAAUUGGUUCACUUCACCCUGAACCCAUUCUCCCACAAUGAUUUGGUGUGUGUUUUACUUAUUUUCGGGCUGUUCUUUCACCUAACGUGCUUGAAUUAUUAAAGCAAAUUUAUAUAUAACAAUAUAUAAAUUCAAGUUAAUGAGACAACACGUUUGUCACCUUCAAACCUAGUUAUAAUCUCAUAGUAACAGGAUAAGCUUGUCAACAGCCACAAAAAGGCGAUAUCCAAUAGUCCAAAGUUCAAAUGUUUCUCUGGGCAUGUGUAAAACCGAAUGAAAGAUCAACUGACCAAUCAUAUGUCAACAACGAACACUCAGAACAAAGGUCAAUGUGAUAAGGGAGUUCACUUUGACAAAUAUCCCAACAAAGAGCAAUGUCUUGUUACCGAGAAAGAAAAUUUCCACCCACCCACCCGUUCAUGUUCCUGGUAUCUGGUGCAUUGUAUGGGUACUAACUAAUGUUAUGCAAGGACUGUUCAAGAACAAUUUGUCAAGAAAGACUAUCGAACAAUUUUCUCAUGGAAAAUUAUCGCUAUGUAAAUACUUAAAUGUUCAAACAAAUAAAUUUUGGUUCGGGGUUGAAGUGUUCCCAAUGGUCAACUUCAGGCCCAUAGACUCAGGUUUUUUAUGUAAAUAUAAUCAGUCGAAUCGUAGGUACUGUCCAAGGGGAUUAUCACCCCUUGGUUCAGGUCUAUGUCAGAGGGGGUCGCUACCCUUCGGGCAGAGCUCCUAUGGAGCAUUCAGUCUCUCCUAGCAGGUCUUAUAUAUACGCCUGCGGGAUGAAAACAUAAGGCUUAAUGAGUCUUUGGGUUGACCAGAGUUUGAGAGUAUAAUGUAUAUAAUUGGUUCACUUCACCCUGAACCCAUUCUCCCACAAUGAUUUGGCGUGUGUUUUACUUAUUUUCGGGCUGUUCUUUCACCUAACGUGCUUGAAUUAUUAAUUGCAUUAUCAAAAUCAAUUCACACAAGUGCAAUUUUCAAAUCACCAUACCAUUAAUUUGUCAAACAUUUUCCAGUCAUUAUACCCCCUGUUCUCCGUCCCAGUACUUCUCCGGUGUCAUUCCCUCAAUAUAGAACAUAUUCAUCAUUAAAUAUCUAAAUUUCCUGCCAAUAUUCGCCAAGGCAGUCAUAUCUUCUUGCUCCAAUUUCACGUUGUAUGUUUCUAGGUUUUGUUUAAUACGCCCUUCGUUGACCGACUUGGGUAGAACAGGACAACCAUAGUUCACUCCCCACGCUAGUAACACCUAAACAAUUGAUAA